UCUUCCUUAAGCAACGUAAACCCUACCUUCUUUUACGUCCUUGCGACCCUAUAGUCGCGCCAGUGUGAAUAAGUUUAAUCAAAAACAU
rfam:Paenisporosarcina sp. HGH0030 genomic scaffold acAqH-supercont1.3, whole genome shotgun sequence.